rnacentral:rRNA from 1 species
CCUACGGGAGGCAGCAGUGGGGAAUAUUGGACAAUGGGCGAAAGCCUGAUCCAGCAAUGCCGCGUGAGUGAUGAAGGCCUUAGGGUCGUAAAGCUCUUUUACCCGGGAUGAUAAUGACAGUACCGGGAGAAUAAGCCCCGGCUAACUCCGUGCCAGCAGCCGCGGUAAUACGGAGGGGGCUAGCGUUGUUCGGAAUUACUGGGCGUAAAGCGUGCGUAGGCGGUUAUUCAAGUCAGAGGUGAAAGCCCGGGGCUCAACCCCGGAACGGCCUUUGAAACUAGGUAGCUAGAAUCUUGGAGAGGUCAGUGGAAUUCCGAGUGUAGAGGUGAAAUUCGUAGAUAUUCGGAAGAACACCAGUGGCGAAGGCGACUGACUGGACAAGUAUUGACGCUGAGGCACGAAAGCGUGGGGAGCAAACAGGAUUAGAUACCCUGGUAGUCCACGCCGUAAACGAUGAUAACUAGCUGUUCGGGUACUUGGUAUCUGAGUGGCGCAGCUAACGCAUUAAGUUAUCCGCCUGGGGAUACGGUCGCAAGNUUAAACUAANAGAUGAG